GAUGAACGCUGGCGGCGUGCCUAAUACAUGCAAGUCGAGCGAACGGACGAGAAGCUUGCUUCUCUGAUGUUAGCGGCGGACGGGUGAGUAACACGUGGAUAACCUACCUAUAAGACUGGGAUAACUUCGGGAAACCGGAGCUAAUACCGGAUAAUAUUUUGAACCGCAUGGUUCAAAAGUGAAAGACGGUCUUGCUGUCACUUAUAGAUGGAUCCGCGCUGCAUUAGCUAGUUGGUAAGGUAACGGCUUACCAAGGCAACGAUGCAUAGCCGACCUGAGGGGGUGAUCGGCCACACUGGAACUGAGACACGGUCCAGACUCCUACGGGAGGCAGCAGUAGGGAAUCUUCCGCAAUGGGCGAAAGCCUGACGGAGCAACGCCGCGUGAGUGAUGAAGGUCUUCGGAUCGUAAAACUCUGUUAUUAGGGAAGAACAUAUGUGUAAGUAACUGUGCACAUCGUGACGGUACCUAAUCAGAAAGCCACGGCUAACUACGUG
rnacentral:rRNA from 1 species